UACAUAAAAGCAGCCUCAAAACAAAACUAUCUGCAGCUAAGACUAUCUAUGAAGGCCAAAAAUGAGACAUUUCCCAUUUUCUAUCUGGUGUCUGGUGGUAGGUAGCCUUUUGCAAUUUGUCUCAAUUUGGCUCUUGUCAGGUAUCUGGGAUGACUCACAAUCAACUUCAGAUGAUCCUUCAUGUUUUGAACCUAAGAUAUAGAACUUACUCUAAGACCUAAACUAAUGAACUUCACCAAUAUGCUACAAGCCCUGAGAUUGAAGAACUUAUCAAAUGGAGGCCCAAAAAGCUUAGAGAAUUUAAACACCCCUACACAAAAUACCUUGAUCCUCGACUUGUAAACAAUGCAAAGAAAUGCUCUGGGAAACCUUCCUCUGUAAUCCCGAGGAGCCCUGAACUAGAGAUUGUGGGAAUAAUGUAACCUACUUAAUCAGCGAUCAAGAGUACCCAAGGCAACAAUUUGACAGUUUGUUCUCUCUUGGGGCGAAAAGUUUUCUUAUUCUUUUUCUUUUUCUUUUCAGUAGUAUUAUCAUUUCCUGUUUGGUGGUGAUGCGCUACUUGUGGGUUAGAAUUAAUUUGUUAAUCCUCAUUUGAUUCAUGCAGGAGGCACUUCUCAAUGCCUUACCCACUCCCUAAACUGGAUAUGGCUGCAGUCCCAUAUUUCUCUGGUUGUGCUAAGGAGAAUUUUGGCUUGAUCAUAUUUUGUGAAAUUGAACUGCUUCAUCAUGAGUUGCAUUCUGGAGCUUCCUGCAAGCAGUGGUCUGAUCUGUUAGUUUCCAGAAUGGAAUAUUUGGACUCAGUUUCUUCAACAAAUCACUGGUGGACUACAUCCCAAUGCACUAGAACAAUUGCACCCAAUCAAGGUACAUAUCACCCAAGGUGACUGACGAAAAGGCCGUCAUAAUUUCAUUGGUUACAACUGAUGAAUCAGUAAACUGCUGUUCAGAGAGGAAAUAACAUUUUAGUGCCAAGGGCAAUGUGACGAACUACACACUUUACAAAUAUAUAUCUGGCUAUAUCCAUCAUUGCAUUAUUGAUGGCCUUGAGGUAAAUAUUUAUUAAAUUAUAAAAUUACUUGUGUCAUGAAUGUCCAGUUUUCUGCACCUUCACUCUAUUGCCAUGACAAUUUCCUGCUGAAAAUUUGGGUGAUAAGUAAGAUAGGGGUGUUGAUUUAUUAUUGUGCUAAGACAAUUAUGGACAGAGAUCGAUGUCCUUGAUGGCUCAAACCGCUGUUCAUACUUCUUCCUUCGGGGACGUUGUUUGUCAUAACCUUUGAUAUAAGUUUCCAAAUUUGUUAGAUAUUAUAAUAAAUUAAAGAAUUUGUAGUA